GUGAAUCAUCAAAUUUUUGAACGCAAAUUGCACUCCCUGGUAUUCAGGGGAGUAUGCCUGUUUGAGGGCAGUUAGAAUAAAAAUCGAAGCAUCGCUCUUUUCUUUGAGGGUGAUCGCGUCGGAAUUGAGCCGUCUUUCAAAUGUCAAUUCAUGUCAAAGUGGCUUAAAAUUCAUCUAUUCGGUACGAUUAAAGCGUAUUUAAGAUCAAUUUUGAUCAAGAACGCGUGAUGACGUACCAUCUCAUGUAGUACGUUCGAUCUGGGUCACCAGGUUCAUUCGUAUACGAUACUCAAACUCUUGA
rnacentral:misc_RNA from 1 species